rnacentral:rRNA from 1 species
CAUGCAAGUCGAACGGAGCACCCUUGACUGAGGUUUCGGCCAAAUGAUAGGAAUGCUUAGUGGCGGACUGGUGAGUAACGCGUGAGGAACCUGCCUUCCAGAGGGGGACAACAGUUGGAAACGACUGCUAAUACCGCAUGACGCAUGACCGGGGCAUCCCGGGCAUGUCAAAGAUUUUAUCGCUGGAAGAUGGCCUCGCGUCUGAUUAGCUAGAUGGUGGGGUAACGGCCCACCAUGGCGACGAUCAGUAGCCGGACUGAGAGGUUGACCGGCCACAUUGGGACUGAGAUACGGCCCAGACUCCUACGGGAGGCAGCAGUGGGGAAUAUUGGGCAAUGGACGCAAGUCUGACCCAGCAACGCCGCGUGAAGGAAGAAGGCUUUCGGGUUGUAAACUUCUUUUGUCAGGGAAGAGUAGAAGACGGUACCUGACGAAUAAGCCACGGCUAACUACGUGCCAGCAGCCGCGGUAAUACGUAGGUGGCAAGCGUUGUCCGGAUUUACUGGGUGUAAAGGGCGUGCAGCCGGGCCGGCAAGUCAGAUGUGAAAUCUGGAGGCUUAACCUCCAAACUGCAUUUGAAACUGUAGGUCUUGAGUACCGGAGAGGUUAUCGGAAUUCCUUGUGUAGCGGUGAAAUGCGUAGAUAUAAGGAAGAAC